GGAGAGAACCCAUAAACAGUAACCCAUUCUUCCUCAUCAAGAUUCCCUGCUGGCAAGCAGUUCCUCUGCAUUUCCAGUCUUGCAACUUCCCUCGGAGGAGGGAGUGUGAUCAAAGCACCAGGUUGGACCACACCUUCAACUGGAGAACCCUUCCCCUUAUCUUCUUGCUCACUGCUACUAGCCUUGGUUGAUGACCACCAUGGUGAACUUGCUGAAACUUGUUGAUUGUGUUGACCACUCAUCAAAGCAAAUGAAGUGCUAGCCUCAGAUUUGCUUUUUGCUGGAGACAUGAAGUCCCUCCCAGAACUUUGGAUUGGAGUUCUUGGGUCCGAUUUUACUUCUGGGGAGGGAGGGUAAUCAGGAAUUCCAAACUUAGGAGAGAAAUCUGAACGGUCCUCCAAGGUAUACAUGGGAGGGGG
rnacentral:misc_RNA from 1 species